rnacentral:rRNA from 1 species
CCUACGUGCGGCAGCAGUGGGGAAUAUUGGACAAUGGGCGAAAGCCUGAUCCAGCCAUGCCGCGUGUGUGAAGAAGGCCUUCGGGUUGUAAAGCACUUUCAGUGGGGAAGAAAGCCUUGGGGCUAAUACCCUCGAGGAAGGACAUCACCCACAGAAGAAGCACCGGCUAACUCCGUGCCAGCAGCCGCGGUAAUACGGAGGGUGCGAGCGUUAAUCGGAAUUACUGGGCGUAAAGCGCGCGUAGGCGGUCUGAUAAGCCGGUUGUGAAAGCCCCGGGCUCAACUUGGGAACGGCAUCCGGAACUGUCAGGCUAGAGUGCAGGAGAGGAAGGUAGAAUUCCCGGUGUAGCGGUGAAAUGCGUAGAGAUCGGGAGGAAUACCAGUGGCGAAGGCGGUCUUCUGGACUGACACUGACGCUGAGGUGCGAAAGCGUGGGUAGCAAACAGGAUUAGAUACCCUGGUAGUC